UACAGAGGUCUCAAGCGUUUGUUCGGAUUCAUUGGGCGUAAAGGGUGCGUAGGCGGCGCGGUAAGUCGGGUGUGAAAUCUCGGAGCUUAACUCCGAAACUGCAUUCGAUACUGCCGUGCUUGAGGACUGGAGAGGAGACUGGAGUUUACGGUGUAGCGGUGAAAUGCGUAGAUAUCGUAAGGAAGACCAGUGGCGAAGGCGGGUCUCUGGACAGUUCCUGACGCUGAGGCACGGAAGGUCAGGGGGAGCAAACGGG
rnacentral:rRNA from 1 species